GCUCCUCUAGGUCAGGCUCUUGGAGACCCUAUUCCUGGUCCUCUCUUCUCUGAAGCUCCACAAUAUCCGCCUCCACCCCCUCUAUCCAUUUGAAGAUAUUGCCAACCUCAAGACGGUUCCAUCGAAUGAAUCGGUGCCUAGCCAACUCGAGCCUUCUGGUCAUUCGGUGCCUCGCAUUGCCAUGAACCGGCAUCCUCCAAACUUUCCUAAUCAAGUCCCAU
rnacentral:lncRNA from 1 species